GAUCCAGACUCCUACGGGAGGCAGCAGUGGGGGAUAUUGCACAAUGGGGGAAACCCUGAUGCAGCGGCGCCGCGUGGGUGAAGAAGCGCCUCGGCGCGUAAAGCCCUGUCAGCAGGGAAGAAAAUGACGGUACCUGAAGAAGAAGCCCCGGCUAACUACGUGCCAGCAGCCGCGGUAAUACGUAGGGGGCAAGCGUUAUCCGGAUUUACUGGGUGUAAAGGGAGCGUAGACGGCAGUGCAAGUCCGGAGUGAAAGCCCGGGGCUCAACCCUGGGACUGCUCUGGAAACUGUACGGCUGGAGUGCAGGAGAGGUAAGUGGAAUUCCUAGUGUAGCGGUGAAAUGCGUAGAUAUUAGGAGGAACACCAGUGGCGAAGGCGGCUUACUGGACUGUAACUGACGUUGAGGCUCGAAAGCGUGGGGAGCAAACAGGAUUAGAUACCCUGGUAC
rnacentral:rRNA from 1 species